AGGAACUGCACAGACCCUACAGAGAGCAGGGACCUUGUUGUGCUGGGUACUACAGUGACCCUGACUGAGCUCCGGGCCCCUGUUGUGCCAGGCCCUGAAUCAACUCCAAGUGAAAUCAGGCUCCCAUUGUACCAGGUGCUGCAGAGACAGCAAACAAAAUCAUGGACCUUGUUCUUCCAGGUGCUGCAGAGACCCCAAGUGAGAUCUGGGUCCUGUUCUGCCAGGCGCUGCAGAGACCCUAACAGAGGUCAGACCCCACUGUUGUGACAGGUGCUGUGGAGACCCCAACUGAGAUCUGCACCCCUGUUGUGCUGGACACUGUAGAGACCCCAUCUGACAUCAGGCCUCCUAUUGUGCCAGGCUACAGAAUAACGUCCAUGUUUCGCUCCAAAUCAUCCCCUCCUCCCAGGGAGAAGGAAAUGUCUACAUUGGAGCUGGAUCAGGAGCUGGUGACCUUCGAGGAGGUGGCUGUGUAUUUCACC